UUCUACAAUUUUGUUUUUAGAAUAAAUUUAUAAAUCUAAAAUAAAUACAAAAUAUGGUACAAAAAAUUAAAAAAUCCAACUAAUAAAACCCGGAUAUCCAUUUAACCAUACAAUCCAUAUCAUUGAGGUAUUCAAGCUACAACAACCCAAAAUUUCACAAAAUAUCCUAAACAGCCUCUCCAUUCUUUUGACAUGCCCUCAAUUGUUGGCCUCAGAAUACUAGUCUCGUAACUCCGCAUCUUAUUCCCGUUCAAGAAAAGAAUUAAAGCAAUAAUCAGUUUAACUAUGAACAAACAUGCAUACCUUAAUAAUAGUUUAUAGUCUAAUAAUUGCGCAUAGCAAACAAGUUGAACUAUCCAAUGAAAAUAUCUAUCGUAGCCCCAAAGAAAAAGAAGACAGAAGCUAAAAGAAAGCAAAAUAGACAAUUUAAUUGCCUAAUUUAAGAAAAGGAGAAAAAAGUUCAUCACAUGUUACUAUAUUGUCAAUAAAUGUACUCAACACAUUUUCUUAAGAACUCCAUCUCCGCUAUAUUUUAACAUUAGCAAUUUUACCGCAAGCCAACACAUAAAAGUACAUAUCAUGAAAAACCACACAACACAGGAUUCUAAAUUCUCAACAAUAUUUACUAAUAACGCCUUCAACAUUUUAGUUUCAGAAUUAAUGAGCUACCUACUAGAAAACUAGCAUCAACAAAACUCAAACAUACACAAAACAAUCUAGUUCUUUCUAGUUCAAGCAAAUUUAAAAAAAAAUAUAUAUGAAAGAUAUAAGAUUCACAAGCUUUGUGGAUUUAAUUCUAUAUGUCAACUAGACCAAGGCCAUUCACAGCAAACAAGUUUUCUAAAACAAAAGUUAAAGCAAUAAAGAAAAUGAUUAACCAAAGAACUUGGGGAUUAAGAAAUCUUGCUAGGAGAAACUCCUGUCUUCAAAUAAGUUUAACUUAGCAAUGAAAUUUCACAAAUGUUAAGAAUUGUACACACUUUUAAUAGCAUGUUACCAUUUUCUAUUUUUCUCACCAAACUAUACAUACUACAAUAAACUAUUAAUAAUAACUGGGAAUGGAAAAAAAAUAAAUGAAUUAUAUAACGUGUUUAACUCUUGUUCUCACCUUAAUUAAAAAAUUUACUUCUAGAUCUUUAUCUCUAAAAAUUAUCUGUAUUGAACCAAAAUGAUUCUUAGAUAGAGCUAAUAAAUAUUAGAUUAAAAAAAAAAAGAGAACUUCUUUAGGCUAUGCAGUAAAGAGAAAACAAAAUAAAUAAAUCCAUGAGAUCAAGAAAAAAUGACAAGUAAAUCAAACAACCAUUGAGUUAGAUGAACUAACCUUCCCAUAAUUAUGCCUUGCCAAUAAUCAUCUGUAUUAUUAUGCCUUGCCACCUCUUGAAAAUUAUGAACUUUGGCCAUUCUUUUUUGGCUAUGGAUCCAUUGCUCACACAAAACAAAGUUAUUAUAAAGAAUAGUUAACACACAAAUUUGCUUUAAAAUAAAGUAAUUACUAAAUUGCAAAAUCAUUGCAAAAUAUUUGUCAUUCCUAACCCAUACUUCACUAGAUUUGUAAUUAAAAGAAACUCAAAAUUCUGUUUAACAAUCCAUAUUUAACCAUAGAUUAACUUUCGAGUCCAACAUGGAAUACAAACUUCCCAUUAACAAUCUUUAAAAAAAAUCAUAUACUAAACAGUCAAUGUAAAAAAGUUCCCAAAAUUAAACAAGAAAACCCUAGAAAAAAAAACAGACCCGUAAACACAAAUUAAAAUGAAACAAUUGAUAAUUGGAAAAAGAAAAAGAAGUCGACUAACAAUAAUGAAAAAGAGGCCAACUAACAAGGAUGAGACUAAAGCAAGUGGCCUAAUCGACUUUGACGAAAUCGACAUCCCAACUCUUGAGAUCAUCAUCUAUGCCAGUCGUGGCAAGAUUGUCGAACUUAAAUGCCUUCUCAUGCUUGUUAUAGUAUUCGAUGGCCUUGCAGAAGAUCUUAUUGGUGAUGUUGGGCAAAGGGAUUCUGUCAUCGGCGCAAUCGUCAUGAAUCAUGUGCUUGCUUGACAAUGGUUAAUGAGGGUUUAAUGGGAAAUUUUGAAAGGAAGUGAAAGAGACAGACUGUAUUGGGGGACAAAACAAAAUUGACGAGGUUGAUGGCUUAAUAGGAAGGAGAGUGAUAGUUGAACAAGAAGAAUAAAUCAAGCAUGAUGGUGACGAUAAUGUGUGAAUGGUACGUCGACGACAAGAACGAGCUAGAGAAGCAGUGUUUAGGGAUUUUGAUUUCUAAGGUGUGAGUGUUUAACACUUAGAAAAAGAAAAAGAAUGUUAAAAGUACCAAAAACGGUAGCGUUUUCUUUUUCUUAUCUAUUAUUAAAAUGCACCUUUUGUUUUAAUAUAAACUUGGCUUGUGCAUAAUAUAAACUAUCUAUUAUGCACUUUUUCUUAUCUAUGGUUCAUGCCAACUUCAUAAUAUAAACUUGGCUUGUGCAUUUCCCUUAUUCUAAAAUAUCUCCCUACACACUUAUGUGAACCCUACUUAUAUAUAAUAUGUAAAACCCUAAUUUGCCUGCAUCUACUAUUGUUCUCAGGCCCUGUUUGUAACACUUGACAUAAUCUACGUUACAUGGAUAUUACAAUAUUAAUGAAGACUCAAUGAUGUGUCUAGUGAAAAUGCUAACAUACAAAUAUAAAUAUUUGACGUUGUUAUAGAAAUGCCAACAUCUGUAUAGUGAAAUUUCGAACACAUUGUGACAAAUGAAUCCUUCCAAGGCUCCUCCUAGCCUGAAGGACUAUUAGCUGCAUUAUUUUAGAGGCAUUAGGAUGCAAUGGGAAGAUCUGUAACUGAAGUUAGCCUUACAGCUAACAAUAAGGAAGGAGAUAAUUCCCCUCUUAACCAUAAGUCCAUACUCAAUCACAUAACUUAAUUCCCCAAGAUUAAAGAGCCCAAGUGGUAUAUACUAGAACUCAGGCCUAUAACUUGUAUGAAAUUAUUUAUAAAAUUGUUAUUGCAAGUUAUUAUUUAUAAAAUUGUUACUAAAUGUAUUGCUAAUUGAUAAUGAAGAGUAUGUUGGAGAAUGUUUCGCAUAAUUAGUAGCAUUAAUUCACUCCUCAUCGCUUAAUUACAAUCAAUAUUAUUAGUGUACGAGUGUUUAUACAAAAUCAGGUGUGAACUUGACAUCAACAAAGCCUAUGGUCGACUAGGAUGGUGUUUUUGGGAGGUGUCAUGUGAAAGCACAAAGAGGCUUACUUAAGACCGGGAUGUCCUUUCUCCCGGAAAUAAACUACGAGCAGAACUUCUUAAUUAAUUUAACUAAUAGUAUUGGCACAACAACUUACACAUUCAUUAUCAUAUAAUGAUCUUAAGUUGAAAUAUUUAAUAAAGUUUAACUAAUAUUUUAAAUGCUAUGUCAAUUGAUAAAGUGUUUAUUUAAACGUCUGUUUUAUCAUUGUUUAAGUUUUUACUUCAUCUAAUAAUUUCCUAUAUUUCGCAACGAAUUGAUAGAUAGAUUAAUGUCGCAAUUGAAAUUGUGCAGCCAGAAUGAAACAAUAUUUGACAGAAUACAAACUGAUCAUUUCAUAUGUGCAAACAAAUAAAUAAACAUAUAUAGUGCCUCCAUGCAUCUCUUAGCAAUUAAAGAGUGUGUGCAAAUAUGUAAGGCGAAUAUAUAUAGGCUUGCCUAGUUGAAAAUUAUAUCUUUUCCUUUUUUUUCAAUUUUCUACUUUGAUAGUAUUAAUUCCUUAAUUAAUCGUAUUUAGCAGAGACAAAGUUGUAAAUAUGGACAUACUUCUGGAAAUAAAGUGUUGUAAUAAUGGCUUUAUCAUGAUGAUACAUGCCAUUUAAGAAACAUAAACAUUCUUAAUUAAUUUGAAAGAUAUUGGUUCUCCUGCUGCGAGUUGUAACAAUUAGCUAACUAAUACAUAAAGUGUUGUUUGAAAAAAUAUGCAAAAGGAAAGACAACGUUAUUAAUUAAACUGACAUAUGGACAAUACCACAUGAUUUAAUGUUUAUUAACAUAACUUAAUCAAAACGUAACACACGGUAGAUUUAUUUAUUAAAGAAGACAAAAUAAGUAAACAUAUAUAGUGCAAACAGAUAAAUAAACAUUUAUAGUGCUUCCACGCAUCUCUUAGCAAUUAAGGAGUCUAUGCAAAUAUUUUGAGGAGAAUAUAUACGAUGAUGAAAAUUAUAACUAAUUUAUUUUUAUUUUGCUACUUUGAUAGUAUUAAUUCCUAAAUGAACUGUAUGUAGCAGAGAGAAUGUAGAUUAAGGACAUAUUUCUAGAAAUAGAGAGAGUUAUAAUGGCAUUAUCAUGAUGAUACACCUCACUUAAGAAAUAUAUAAACGUUCUUAAUUAAUUAGAUCUUGGUUCUCCUGCUGUGGCUGUAACAAUUAGAUAACCAACAUAUUAGUUUUCUUGUUCAAAAAACUACUAAAAAAGAAAGAGAGCAUAAGUAAUUAAACUGAUAUAUGGAAAAUAUAUCAUCCCCCGUAGCAGUGUUUUAUUUUUAGUUUCUGCACUUCUAUUUCGCACAAACAUUAAUAUUACAUUUUAUUUUGAAAUACAUAGAAUUCAUUUCUUUCUUUAUUCCUAACACUUCUUUUUUAGGAUGAAGGGGGAGAAUAUUACAUGUAUUUGAAAUCAGAUUUCUAUAAUCUUAAGAAAAAUUGUUUUGUUAUACACACACACAUAUACACACAAAAUGUUUUCAAAUUUUUUAAAUUGCUUUUAAAUUGGCUUAACCUGAAAUAAUGGCUCUUUUCAAACUUGUAAAAUAUUUAAAGGAGCUUAUAUUCAGGGGGACCUAGCAUUGUUUUAUUUCUCCAUACCUUGAAUACAUGUAAGGUUUGUCAUCAUAAAAAAUGGCAAGAUUAUUGACAUAAAAGGUCUUUAAUAUUGAUUUUGAUAAUAACAAGCUGUAUAAGUUUUGACUAAGAAUGUUGGAGUCUUGAAACUUGCUAAGCUCUUAAGCCGAAUGUAGUUUUUGGGAUUGUAUAAGAAUAUGGAAACAAAUGGAUAACUGUUAAUGAUUAAAUGGAAAACCUAUCAUACAAAAGAUAAAACGAAAAACUGAUUCUAAAAGAAAACAACAAACCAUUUAUUGGAAAAUGGUUAAUCGAUGAAUUUCAGAGAAUAUCCAGGUUGCAAACGACAUACUGUUUAGCCCAAAUGGCUAUCCAAAAAAUUUCAGAGAGCAUCCAGGUUGCAAACGACAAACCGUUUAGUCCAAACAUCUAGCUAAUAAUUUUGUGCACGUUUCUGGAAUGUUAACGGCGAUCCGAAUUCUAAAAAUAGUGAUCGAACUAUUCAAAAUUGCGGCAUAACAGUCACUUGCUCAAGUCAAAUUGGUGACCCAACCGCAAAUAACGGUGAUCUUAUUAUUUUUAGAAAGUCAACAAUAGCUAAUUUUCUUCUCGAACUAUAAAAUGCUCAAUCAUAUUCAAAUUCAGUGUGAUUCAACAAUUAUCAUUGAGCUUACUAUUGAUUAUUCAAUCUCUCUUGUGCUUAAAACUUGUAUUCUUUUAUCAAAUCACACUUUGGGCUUUCAUUUGUAAACACAUACAUUGUGUGAGGAAAAUUUCUUUCAAUAUCAUAAUUGAGUGAUUGUAAUUAUGGGAGACACUUAGGAUAAGAGGUUUGCUAUUACCUCAAGUUUUAAAGGUUGAUUGACAACUUGGAAGUCAACUGCAAAUUUUGAAGCCUUAGGUUGUAAAGGCUUGGAUAGUGGAAUCCUCAAAUUUGUGAGCUUAGAGGCGUGAACGUAGGUGGAAUUUGCCGAGCCAUGUAAUAAUACCAUUUUUGUCCUCUACCUUCCCUUAUCUCUUUUAAUUUUGUUUAUCAUUGUUAUUAUUGUCAUUUCUUUUAAUUAUUUUGUGAUUUUCAUUUGCUUUAGAUUUUAAAACCCAAUUCACCCCCUCUUGGGUUUCGGAGCUAGUAUUUCACUAAGUACAGAAAGCAUAUAAUUAUACAAUACGUGUAAACUUCUUUCGAAUAUGUCAUAAAAUAUCAAUUGCACUUCAAAAUAGGCGAAGACACUUCAAAAUACAUGUUACUUAUCUUCUCCCCUUUAUCGUCAAAAUUACUUCCCACUAUGCCAAUCCAUCAAAAACACUUUCACAAUUACUAACAAAGAAACCAACAAUGUAUAACAAAUAAUUAAGGCGCCCAAAACAAGCAUAAGUAUAAAACAUGAAUCCAUAAAUAUUAUCCAAUCAAAGUCAGAACAAAAGUAUCAAAUGCAUAUGAUAAUGUUGGUGCAUAAAAGCAGGAGUCGGUAAAAAUAAACGAAAGAUAAAAGUCACUAAUUAAGAGGCUGGGAUGAUAAGGAUGGUGGCAGAAUCCCGAGAGCAGCAAAAAGUCGAUGCUAACCGUCGAGAAGCUGUUGUUUUUUAUCGAAGAGGUGCUACUGCUCAGUAACAAUAUGAUCUUGAAAUACUACAAACUGGACCGAAGUUGGUUCUGUUGCUUGAAUUCGAACUUCACUCAACAGCUGCUAUAUAAUAUCCCCAUGAGCUUCUGAAGAGGGUUAAGGAGGAGGUUCUAAAGUGGGAUGAGGAGGAUGUGGUUGUUGUGAGACACUAAUGAGGAGGAUUGUGAGAAUCUUUAAUAACAUACAUUAAAGUCACAAAGUACGACACAUAGUACAAAGUGUGAUGUCUAGGUUUUUAGAUAUAUGAAAAAUGAAUUUAAAUGCUUUGACUCAUUGUCUGCAGCUAUUUUCUGUAGCUAUUCUAAUCUUGAUCGUAUUUUACGAUAUAUAUAUGUUUAGCACCACCACUGGAUCUCUAUUUUGAUUGUACACACAGUAUUUUGGUUAUGAUUCUGUUCCUAGCAGGGUCAUCGGAAGUAUAGGUGACACUAUGUGACAUGAGCUAACCUUUUUUUAUUGUGUAUAUAUGAUAGAAAAAGUUCAUGAUUAAUUAUGCUUCUGAUAUUCUAAAUCAAUUAUAAAUUUAUAUCUUUCUGUUAUAAAAUGCAUUUUUUUAAAUUUAUGAUUUUUAAUAUAUGUUUUGAUAAGAAAAGGGCUUGCAAUAGUUUUUGAACCUGAUAACUGUAGUGAGUGGCAAUGGUUUUACUUACCGAGUUGACAACGCACUCCUCGUCAUUACUUUUGGAGAUUGAGCAACUUUUUGAGAGGUUUAUUUAUUUUUGUUAGCAGAACAAGAGGAGAAUAAACUUUUGUUUCCUUUAAGUUUGUUUAUCUUCCAAACUUGCAAUUGGAGAGUUUUGAGACUUUUUUAUAUUUAUGGCUUUGAAAAAAGGAAAAUGCAUAGUAUUAGGCUAGUGGAUUUGUUUGAAUAAACUUUGACACAUUUCUAUUUGAGGCUUUUGUGAAGGAUUAUGAUUUAUAAGUAACCUCUUUUAUCAGAUGCUCCACACGUGUUGGAUUUACUGUAUUACAAUUUGCUUCAAUUGAGGAUGUUGUCUAUGUAGUUUUCAUUAGUAACUUAUCAAUACUAGACUUAAAUAAAUCAUUGGUAAACUUAGAAAACAGUAAAAGAGGCUACAAAUAAGGUUAAAAUUCUCAAAUUUGAAAUUAGUUACUACGACAUGAAAAUUGAACAAAUUAGCCAUAAAAUUGUUUUCAUUAUCCCAGAUAGUUCUAAACAAAUUUUAAGUUCAAUAAACCCUUGACCCAAUGUUUAAGACACUUAAUGGUAAUUUCCUAACUGUACAUUUUACCAACCUAAUGUAUUUUCCUUUUAUACACGAGCAAUAGUGCAUGAUUGUUCAUGGAAUACAUAGCCUAUUAAUAGUUUAGAUAGAGGUGGAAAAAUGGGUUAAUAGAUUGUGUUUAUGUCGUGUCAAAAUUUAAGCCUACUCAAACACAGUCUAUUUAAUAAUUGCAUCAAACAAUCAAAAUCCUAGUUAACCUGAGAUGACUAUUAACUGGAUUUACAUCAGCACGAUCAAUUUAAUAAUUAAAUCAAAUUUUAAUUGUGUAGAGUAAAUGAGUAAGAAAAUAAACAAGAUAAAAUUACUAGGGAAAAAAACUUUGAAUGAAGUAGCCGCAAUAAGGUUGUCAAGGCGUUUAUUAGAAAGAGAGAGAAGUAAAUAGUAAUUAAGCCGAAAAUAUAGGCCCAACCAACUUAUUUCCUUGUUCCAAUAGAAAUAUUCAGUCAAUAAGGAUUAAUUAAUAUAGUUUAUGAUUGCCCAACCCUUACCCUUUAAAUAAAAAAAAUUAAUAUAUUUUAUGAAAUGUUAAAAUGAUCAUUAUUAUUUCUUUUUGAAUGGGAAUAGUUGGACAUUUAAAGGCAUAUAAUUAUGAAAAAUAGCCUAAUAAAACAAAUCGAAGAUUUUGACAAAUAAAACAAAUUUAUAAGCUUCAGAAUUGAAAUUAAGGGAAAAGGUUUUGUGGAGCAAAUGAUUUUAAGAUCGUUCUCCAUUUUUUUUUUAAAAAAAAAUUUUAGAGAGCAAUGAUGGUUCUAACUUCUAACUAUCUUUUGUUACCAACUAUUUUUAGUGACACUUGUAUGAAAGUUGGUUUUCUUCUUUUCCAAAAAAAUGCCUUUUAAUUAGGGAGGUUAUAAAAUUUGACCUUAAUUUAGUUUGUUUUUCCAUUAUAUAAAAGACAUAAUUGAAGGAAUAUAUAUAUUAAACAUUUUUUCAACAAGAUAGAAGAGAAAAAGAGUAAUUAAAAUCAUGAAGAAGUUCAUUGUUCUCAUUCUUUUCUUCACUCUUUUUCUAUGUCUUAUGAAUCUUUCUCAAGGUAAAUAUAGUAUCCCAAAAAUUUAUUUUAAAAUUGGUUUUAAUAUGAGAAUACUCACAUUUUAACGAUUUUUAUGUUUUGUUGCAAGAAAAGGACAACUAAAAUUCUGUACUAAACACAUGACAAUUCCUAGCGUUUGUCCCAAGGAUCCUAAGGAAGCAGAAUUCGUAUGCCUUAAUGCCUUCUUCAAUAAAUAUGGAGCAACAAAGAGCCCAGAUAAUUGUUUAUGCAAACCAUCAAUUGGAAACCAGCACAUCUGCCAGUGUGACAUUAUUUGCGACCCACCACCACCUAAACAAACUUAAUUGUGGUGUCCAAUAGCAUGAAGAAUGGAGAUCACUAAAUCCACGAUAUGGAUAUUAACCUAUUGUUAAAUCAUAGAUAGAUAAUGAUAAGGUGGUUUGUAAUAAUAAAUCAUAAUAUUUACUUAAGUAAUUAAUUUCUAUGGUUGAGAAACAUUUGUAUAUUAAACAAUGGGUAAUUUCAUUACAAUGUUGGGUUACUAAAAGGAAAAAUUACUUUUAUACUAUUGAAUAUAAAUAAAUCCAGUCGAAUAAUUUUUCUUUUAAUACUAAUAACCAUGUUAAGAAAAAAAAAUACUUCUAAUUAAGAUAUAAAACUUUAUGUGUGUGCUUUUUUUCCCUCUUAAACAAAUAAUAACUUAAAGCUAAAGUUUCAGUGUCGGGCCUCAAUGCCUAGCAUUGUACCAAUUUUUAUUUGUAGCCGUUGGAUUCAAGUAAAAUAAGUCUAAUGGUUGAGAUCAAAUUAAAAAUACAAAGUAACGGGUUACUUGUUAAACGGUUGCUAAAAUCCAUUACAUUUUCCCUCCUUCAAAUCCCAAACAUCUCUUUCACCUCUCUUACUAUCUCUCUCUGAAAUAUUGAUUUGUCUCUUGGAUUGUUUAAUAAUCACAUAAAAUCGAAGCCACCAUGUCCCACACGGUGAACAACAAGUUGAAUCCAUCAGCUGGUUGGUGUCAUCUUGAGUUGUUCUCUUUCAUUUUUGAGUUAAAGACAAGGUUAGGAUGAUUCUUGUGCUUUUGUGGUGUCUAUUGAAAAUGAUAUGUGAAAGAAUUAGGGGUUUAUGUGUUAUAUUAAAUUGUUGAUGGUAUGUGAAAUAAUUAGGGAUUUAUAGGGUGAUAGGUAGUGAGAAUUUUGAUGCUGACUUUAAAUUCCUCUUUUCUUUGCCUCUUCUAAGAACUGUAUUAUAUCCCACAAGUGCCACUUACAUCAAUACGAUGUACCUCCAUGUCCUGAAAGCUAGUAUGAAGAAUGAAGAUCACUAAAUCCACGAUAUCUAUGUUAAUCUAUUGUUAAAUCAUAUAGAUACUAAUACGGUGGUUUGGAAUAAUAAAUCAAUAUAUUUACUUACUAUGGUCGAGAAAUAUUUGACUAAUUAAUUACUGGGGUUGAGAAAUAUUUGUAUAUGAAACAUGGUUAAUUUCAUUACUAUGUCGGAUUACUAAAACAUAAAAAUUACUUAUACACUAUUGAAUAUAUCCGAUUGAAUAAUUUUUCUUUUAACCCUAAUAAUGAUGUUAAAAAAGGAAAAAAGAAAAACAUAUACUUCUAAUUAAGAUUUAGAACUUGUGUGUGCGCUUUUUUUUUUUAACAAUUAAUAACUUCAUUAUAAUUAAAGUGCGCAUAAUUGUUCUAAAAAGUCAUCCAGCCAAAUAACAGAGUUUAAAAGAGCUAACUUUGCUAGUACAUGGCUUGAGCUAUUUAAAAUUACAUGAAAUAUGAUGAAUUUUAGUAGGCGUACCGAGUUUAAUUAAAAUUUAAUUAAACAAAUAAUGAGUAAAAAUAAAAUGCGUAAAAGUAAAGCACACAAGAGGAUUUUUACAUUAUUCACUACAUUCAUGGAGCCACACUCAAAUAUCAAGUAAUUUGCUAGGCUCAAGAGAUUAUAACCUGUUGAAACCUUACACUAUAUGAGACUCCAUCUUAAUGAUUGCCACCAACUUAUUAUAAACUCACCAAGUGUUGAUAGGUGGCUUGUUAUCUAAAUUCAACCAUUAUUGGCAGUCUGUUGAUCUUAAAAUUAAGGAGUUGAUCGCUCCACACAACAAGAAAAUAGGUAAUAGAUGACAGUAAAUAAUUGUCAUAAAAGGGGAUGUAUGACAAACAACUUGUCUGUCAUUUAUGUCACUGUAAUUAAUUCAUGACAGAAUAUUUUCCGUCAAGAAUUCAUUAUGAUUUUUCACAGUCACAUAUAUGUCACACGAUAUGUUGAUGAGAAAUUAAUAUUAUUUAAAUUUUUGGCAUUUUUAAACUUUUUGGCUGGAAAUUGGUAUUAUCUCACUUUUAAAAUUGCUUAAAAGCAUUAUUUUUUUAAUUGUAUUGUUAUUAUUAUUUGUGUUGAAUUAUUAUUAUUAUUAGAAUUCUCAAAUUCUACAAUUUUGUUUUUAGAAUAAAUUUAUAAAUCUAAAAUAAAUACAAAAUAUGGUACAAAAAAUUAAAAAAUCCAAUUAAUAAAACCUGGAUAUCCAUUUAACCAUACAAUCCAUAUCAUUGAGGUAUUCAAGCUACAACAACCCAAAAUUUAACAAAAUAACCUAAACAGCCUCUCCAUUCUUUUGCCAUGCCCUCAAUUGUUGGCCUCAGAAUACUAGUCUCGUAACUCUGCAUCUUAUUCAUGUUCAAGAAAAUAAUUAGAGUAAUAAUCAGUUUAACUAUGAACAAACAUGCAUAUCUUAAUAAUAGUUUACAGUUUAAUAAUUGCACAUAGCUAUUUUUUAUAAGUUGCACUAUCCAAUGAAAAUAUCUAUCAUAGCCCCAAAGAAAAAAAGAACACAUAAGCUAAAAGAAAGCACAAAUGACAAUUUAAUUGCCGAAUAUAAGAAAAGGAGAAAAAAGUUCAUCACAUGUUACUAUAAUGCCAAUAAUUGUAAUCAACAAUUCACAUUUUCUUAAGAACUCUAUCUCUGGUAUAUUUUAACAUUAGCAAUUUUACCGCAAGCCAACACAUAAAAAUUAGAAAACCAUUUUCACAAAUAAAGUAUUUGUAACAACACUCAAAAUUUGUCAGAUGCAAUAGGUGUAUCCAUCUCAAAACUAGUUCUAAAGUAGAAGAAAACAAGGCAUUAGAAAGAUUAUAGCUCAAUGAAACACAUGAAAACAUCAAGAAGUUAUAAUAAAACAUCAAAUAAAAAUUCAUAGAGUUCAAGCAAAAGACAUAUAUCUAGACAUUUAUUCAUAUACCUAAUUAAGAAUUUCUAAAGUAACCCAAUUCGAUCGCCUUGAACAAAAUCAUUAAUGGCACUACCUUAUCUAAAGUGAAGCACUUCAUAACUGGUGGACCAAAUGUGUAGCAUAAAAGACCAUACAACAUCACAGAAACCCCACUUUGAUAAAACAUCAUAAAAAACCACACAACGAAGGAUUCUAAAUUCUCAACAAUAUUUACUAAUAACCCCACUUUGAUAAAACAUCAUAAAAAACCACACAACGAAGGAUUCUAAAUUCUCAACAAUAUUUACUAACAACACUCAAAUUUUGUCAGAUGCAAUAGGUGUAUCCAUCUCAAAACUAGUUCUAAAGUAGAAGAAAACAAGGCAUUAGAAAGAUUAUAACUCAAUAAAACACAUGAAAACAUCAAGAAAUUAUAAUAAAACAUCAAAUAAAAAUUCAUAGAGUUCAAGCAAAAGACAGAUAUCUAGACAUUUAUUCAUAUACCUAAUUAAGAAUUUCUAAAGUAACCCAAUUCGAUCGCCUUGAACAAAAUCAUUAAUGGCACUACCUUAUCUAAAGUGAAGCACUUCAUAACUGGUGGACCAAAUGUGUAGCAUAAAAGACCAUACAACAUCACAGAAACCCCACUUUGAUAAAACAUCAUAAAAAACCACACAACGAAGGAUUCUAAAUUCUCAACAAUAUUUACUAAUAACCCCUUCAACAUUUCAGUUUCAAAAUUAAUGAGCUACCUUCUAGAAAACUAGCAUUAACAAAACUCAAACAUACACAAAACAAUCUAGUUCUUUCUAGUUCAAGCAAAUUAAGAAAAAAACUGUGAAAGAUAUAAGAUUCACAAGCUUUGUGGAUUUAAUUCUAUAUGUCAACUAGACUAAGGCCAUUCACAGUAAACAAGUUUUCUAAAACAAAAGUUAAAGCAAUAAAGAAAAUGAUUAACCAAAGAACUUGGGGAUUAAGAAAUCUGUUAGCCUAUAUGGCUAUAAAAUGUUGAAUUUGAUGAUACUUGGACAAGGCUUGAAGAAGCAGAAAAAUAAUUGGUACUUGGACAGUGGUUGUUCAAGGUAUAUGAUCGAAAACUAUGCAUGGUUUUCAAGUUUCACCAAAAUCGAAAACGAUGGAGAUGCUUCCUUUAGAGACAUAUCAAAUGGAAGGAUUCUCGGAAUUGGUAAUGUCGGUAAAGUUUCGUCAACCCUAAUUUAAAAUGUAUGUUUGGUUGAAAAUUUAAAACAUAAUUUGAUUAGUAUUAGUCAAUUGUGUGACAAAUGUUAUAAAGUUAUUUUUUAUAAAUCUAAAUGUGUUAUUGAGAGUGCAUGUGAUGGCAAGAUUUUAUUUGUUGGAAACAAAUGUGGUAAUGUUUAUACCAUUGACAUAGAAUGUGCAUCUACUCAUGAUUAAUGUUUUUUCGGUAUUGCAUGAUGAUAGUUGGCUAUGACAUAGAAGACUAAGACAUGCAAGCAUGGAUUUAAUUUUGACGAUUUCCAAAAAUGAGUAUUCCAAAAAUCUGUUUUCAAAUAGAUAGAAUUUGUGAGCAUGCCAAUUUGGUAAACAAAUUAAAACCUCGUUUAAAAGCAAAAAAAUCAUAUUUCUACUUCAAAACCACUUCAACUACUUCAUAUAGACCUAUUUGGACCUUCAAGAUAUGCUAGCCUAAGUGGCAAGUAUUAUGCUUUUGUAAUUAUCGAUUAUUUUUCAAGAUACACAUGGGUAUUAUUCUUAGCUAAUAAGGAUGAUGCUCUUGAUGUUUUUACAAUAUUUUGUAAGAAAAUUCAAAAUGAAAAAGGGUAUGGUAUUACAUACAUUAGGAGUGAUCAUGGUGGAGAAUUUGAAAAUCAUACAUUUGAGAAUUUUUGUAAUGAUUUUGGCAUUGAGCAUCAAUAUUCAUCACCUAGGACUCCACAACAAAAUGGAGUUAUUGAGAGAAAGAAUAGGUCUAUUCAAGAAAUGGCUAGGACCAUGUUGAAUAAGAAUGCUUUACUAAAAUAUUUUUGGACCAAAGCCAUUAACACAGCUUGUUAUGUUUUAAAUCGGGUGUUGAUUAGACCUUAUCGCAAUAAAACUCCAUACGAGCUUUGAAAAGAUAGAAAAUCCAACAUUGGUUAUUUCAAAAUUUUUGGAUGCAAAUGUUUUAUUUU
rnacentral:lncRNA from 1 species